rnacentral:lncRNA from 1 species
CACUCGUAGCGGCGUCGGUCUGGCUAAUGCAAUGAAGGCGAUUUGCUGGGCCUCGAGCCCUCGACCGCGGGCAGGCUUGCCCGUCGCUGUCGGUGCCGACGAGGACAGCAGGGACGAAGCUGCGGAGGGGACGGAGGACGCCGAGGGAUGGAGGGAGCGACGCCGCAAGCGCCGCGCCGGUCUAGCUUGGACGCGUGGUGGCGCUGGCCGCUGGCGGAGAGGUGGCUC